rnacentral:lncRNA from 1 species
GUGCUGUAAACUUUGCGAGAGAAUUGCAGUGUUCACUUCCAUUCAAUCGUUAGGCCCCCGGCCUCAAUCACCCUGUGAACAGCUACUGUUCUGUGAGAGCCUACUAUGUGCUUGGUGCGUCCUCACAUCUACUAUCAUUAUUCCUGCUGGAAACAUGAAGUCUUUGGGAGGCUCAGAGAGGGUAACUAACUUGUCCAGAGUGUCACAUUGCUAGUUCAGUAGCAGAACUAAGAUUUUUUUUUUUUUUUUUGAGACAGGGUCUCACUCUGUCGCGGCACCUGGAGUGCGGUGCUGUGAUCACAGCUCACUACAGCCUCAACCUCCCAGGCUCAAGCAAUCCUCCAGCCUCAGCCUCCUGAGUAGCUGGGACUGCAGGCAUAUGCCACCACGCCCAGCUAAACUUUUUUUUUUUUUUGGAGAGACUGUGUCUCACUCUAUUGCCCAGGUUGGUCUCAAACUCCUGGGCUCAAGUGAUCCUCCUGCUUUGGCCUCCCAAAGUGCUGGCAUUAUAGGCAUGAGCCACCGCACCCAACUGCUGAACCAGGAUUCUAACCCAGGCUGAUCUGACCUGCAACACCUGACCCUUCUCUUCUUUAUUCAGAGGAAAACAGGCCAGCAAGCAUCUGCACCAGGAGGCCAGGCCUUCUGGAAAUGUGUUGGACAGCGAUGGGUCCACACUUCCGCCUUGGCUCCUGAAUGUGGCAUAGCCAACCCAUGAGAGAUGUCAGUUGACAAAGAGCAUGAGGAUCAGGCCAUGGCCUUGUGACACAGUGGAUGAACACCUGGCUGAAGAAACCC